rnacentral:rRNA from 1 species
AUUGAACGCUGGCGGCAGGCCUAACACAUGCAAGUCGAACGAGUGGCGGACGGGUGAGUAAUGUCUGGGAAACUGCCCGAUGGAGGGGGAUAACUACUGGAACCGGUAGCUAAUACCGCAUACCAUCGGAUGUGCCCAGAUGGGAUUAGCUAGUAGGUGGGGUAACGGCUCACCUAGGCGACGAUCCCUAGCUGGUCUGAGAGGAUGACCAGCAACACUGGAACUGAGACACGGUCCAGACCCAUACGGGGGGCAGCAGUGGGGAAUAUUGCACAAGGGGCGCAAGCCUGAUGCAGCCAUGCGGCGUGUGUGAAGAGGGCCUUCGGAUUGUAAAGCACUUUAAGAUGGGAGGCGGUACCAACAGAGUAAGCACCGGCUAACUUCGUGCCAGCAGCCGCGGUAAUUC